rnacentral:lncRNA from 1 species
AGUCCCACUUGCCUGCCCAGUGCCCGGCGCACUUCCUCAGGGGCACACAGCCCGGGUCUUCUCAAGUCAUGUUCGAUAUCUAGUUAAGGGGUACAUUUAUCUCCAGUGUUCCCCGGGACCUUCCCUUUUGAUUUUCAAGAACAUUUUCUUCCCUCUGCCAGAGCAGUCCUUUCGAAUCAAAGGCUCGGCUUUUCCAAAGCGUAGUUUCUGAUGUGGGCUUCAGUGGACUGGCUGCGAAGUUCCUGAGACAAUGAGAGGGGAUGCUGGCUGUCUCUUUCUCUUUAUCUUCUCGCAGUAAAGCUCCAGUUCUCCUUGAGGUGACCCUUCACUUGUUGUGUGAAGUCAACAAAACUGACCAGCACACCAUCUGAAUGCUACAGCGGGAUGGAGAUGGGAGGCGAAGCCUUGGAAGCUGGAGGGUGAAUAGCUGGUGUGCACAACCCCCUAGCAACGGGCAAACAAGGCAGGAGGAGUGUGGAAUGGGAGUCAGUGCUUAAUGGGCACUAAGUUUCCAUUUGGUUGUAGAGACGAUGGUGCUGAUGGCUAUAAGGCGUCUUGAAAGUGCUGAAUGCCACCAAACUGCACAAUUGAAACAAUUAACUCGAGAAUCAACUUGUCACAUUCUAUUAAAAGUCCCUUUGAUAUUUUUACUGCAGUUACAUCAAGUUUAUGGAUUGCCUUGGGGAGAAGUGACAUUUUUAUGGUCCUGAUCUUUCCCCCAGGUGGAGGCCUCCUCAUUGACUGGGAUCUCUUUAUGUCUCUCAGUAAAGUUGUAUAAUUCCA